CCCCCAAGAGUGGGACUCUUGACUGACUGGGCCACCCAGGUGCCCCACCAGUGGCUUCUUUUUAAUUUGAAUGUCUUUGGUUGAAUCCAGGGUUGGUAGUUGGACAUCUGUUGUACUUGUUCAUAAGAACCACACAUUGGCUGUCUAGUGCUGCCUCCCUCUGUCGACACAAGAGGUGCAUGUGUUAGACCAGUGUAGACAUGGCUGUAGAGGUUUCUCCAUGUCUGAAAGCAGCAGGAGAGGGCUGGAACCACACAUGACCCCUCACCAGUCCUCAAACAGUGGCCUUUCAUCAGUUGGAUUCACAGCAGUAGACUGGCGUGGUCAUUGUAAGCCCAGUUGGAAAUUCUUUCGCUUGCACUGCUUCUCUGAGGGCGCAUACAGAAUGCUUUCUCUUUGGCUUACCCAGCAUAAUAUCAUCAAGACAACAUUUUUAAGCAUCUGCCUGGCAGGCUAACCUUGUGGCCACCCUCCAUGUGGGGACCAUGUUCCUUUGCAGAAGGAUGGAAGAGUUGCACUGCCAAGCUCAGAAUCCGGCUCACCCUGGAGGCUCGGGAAAUGCCUGUCACCAGCUUCGGGAAUCCCUGCCUCAGCAACGUGGAGCAGCCCAGUGGCUCUGUCUUGAGGAGCCAGGCUGGCCCUGAUUCAGACCUGGAGACUCUUGACUAAGGGAUUCUUAACCUGGGGCCUGCGAGGCCAGGGUGACUACAGGCAAAACCGCCUUUUGCAAGGAACCAGAGGGAAGGAAGUCUCAGCUUCCGCCUGAUUGGAAAUUGAGAGAAGCUUUUCCCAUCUUGAAGUAACGUCUGUUUCUGUAGCCCUGGAAUCUGGGCUUCCUUGUCCUUGUCUUGCCAGCGGACUGCAGUGGAAGUGACGCCGUCAUAGACUGACAGUCGGUGCCCCUCACAAUUGCUAACUGAAACCUAAUCCUCCAGAUGAUGGUAUGGGGAGGCGGGGCCUCUGGGGGGGCUUAGGUCAUGAGGGUGCAGUCCUCAUGAAUGGGAUGAGUGCCCUUAUGAGAGAGGCCCCAUAAAGCUCCGUCCCUCUGUCCUCCACGUGAGGACACAUAAGAAGAUGGCGGUCCAUGACCCAGUCCCUCACCAGACACGGCAUCUGCCAGCACCUUGAUCUUGGACUUCCAGCCUCUAGAGCCUUUGCCUGUGUCCCCUCCACCUCGGGAACGCUGCCGCGUGAAGGACCCAAGGCUGGCCCUGGAGGAGGAGAUGCUACAGGGAGGGAGCCAGGGUUUCUGUCUGAUAGCCAGCCGCCUUCCAGAAGUGGAGCUGCCUGCCUGCCGCUGACUUCAGAUGCAAUGCAGCCCAGCCUACGGAAUCAUGAACAAAAUCAACAAUUGCUGUUUUAAGCCAGGAAUCCGCAAACCUUUUCAGUAAAGGGCCAGAGAGUAAAUACUUGAAGCUUUGUGUGUAUCUUAGUUUGGGCUGCUGGAACAAAGGACCACGGACUGGGUGGCUUGUAAACAGUAGGAAAGUAUCCCCCGCAGUUCCGGAAGCUGGAGGAGAUGAGGGUGCCGGUGGGGCUGGGUUCUGGUGAGAGCCCCCUGGUGGGUUGCAAGUGGCUGCCUCCCUGCUGUGUCCUUGCAUGGGGGGGGGCAGCAAUCUCCCCUGUGACUCAAGGGCACUCCUGAGCGCGCCAGGCUCCUGAUGCCAUCUAAUCCUAAUCCCUCCCAAAGGCCCCACCUCCUAACACUGUCACCCUGAGGUUUCAACAUUGAAUUCUGGGAGACACAAACUUUUGGUCCCUGACACCAGGCCAUAUGGCGUCUGUUUGCAGCUACCGAGCGUCCCCACUCUAGGGCAGAGGCAGCCGUAAACGAUACACAAGGUGGACAUGGCUGUGUGCAAUCGAAGCUUUCAUUUUUGACUGAAGGAGAAAGAGUGGAUGUGCCCGCAGUCCAGCAGUUAGCAGGAGCCCUCCUCCACUUCCCAAGGCCGGAAGAGGCCUUGCAGUGAAGGGUGCCUGGGAUUUGGGCGGGUGGGGCUGGGAUGCAGCACACCAACCCGAGAGAAGGGCCUGGUAUGGACAUUGAAACGGGAGAAAAGCACGGGCUGACCGGGAAACGGUGCUGUGUGUGAGGGACAGAGGAUGUUGGGGGGGGGGAGGCUAGACAGUGGGCUCGGGGCUCUCAGAUGUAAGGCAGAAGCUGGGGUUUAUGCAGUAAGUAAUAGGGAGUCACCAAGAUACCUGCUCACAAGAUUUGUUCUGUUGUAGGAUGCUAAGGUGAUGCUAUAGGCUGAAUUGUGCCCCCUCCAAUUCAUGUGAAGCCCUAACCCCCAAUGUGACUAGAGGUAGGACCUCUAACAAAGUCGUUACAGUUACGUGAGGACACAGGUGGGUCUGAGGCAGCCAUCCUGGCCCCAUUCCGUGGGCUGUGCUUGGUUUGUGGCCAGUGGGGUGGGACCCAGGCUGGACAGGAAGCCGCUCGAGGAUGCCGGCACAAGGAGGCAUAUGUAGAAUGUACGUGGAGGAUACCUUGGAGCAUUGCUUACCAGCAGGAAAUUAGAAAUAAUGUUUGGUGGUUUAAAGAGAUACCCACAAACUCUUCAAUGGGGCCUAAUCUACUCUGCCCUGGAGUGUGGGUUAGAUUCAGUAAUUCGCUUCUAACUAAUGGCAUGUGGCAAAAGUUCUGCCAUGUGAUUGGUGUCAGAGGCUGGGUCAUGACAAGUCCAGCUUCCGCACCCCAGACUCUCUGUUUUCUCUCUGGGGAAACUAGUUGCUAUGUUGUAAGAAUACUCAAGCAGUACUGAGACGAGCCCACACAAGAGGACCCAAGGCUUCUUGCAGACAACUAGAACCAAAGUGCCCACUGUGUGAGGGAACAUCCAGGAAGCAGAGCCCGCCACCCCAGUCAAGCCUUCAGAUGAUGCCGCCCCAGCCAGCGUCUCGUGGGCAACCUCAGAAAGACCAUGAGCCUAGAGCCCAGCCAAGCCACUCCCGUGUUCCUGACCCGCAGAGACUGAAGAUCAGUAUUAUUGUUUGAAACCACAGCAUUGGGGAUAGUUUUUGACUCAGCAGUACAUAACACGUAAUAUAAAUGUCUACCAGUAGGAAGUUAGGCAAAUGAAUUGUGAUCCAUUCAAAUGAGUAAAUAAUCAGCCUUUAAGUUUGGGGGGCCCAGGAUGAAAGUACAAAUGGACUGCAUACCAUACAUCUAAAUACUUUAACAUCAUUAACCAAACUGGCUAAAAGUUAAAUACAGUAUGUUUUCUCUUACCUACCUUGACAAAUGUACGUUUCUAAUGACCAAAAAAAAAAAGGGGGGGCUAAGGUUUUUCUGGUUGGCAAAACAUCAAAGAUGACUGACUUUAUUAUCAUGCAUGUCUGGGCAUUCUGUUGAUGGGCCAGGGUUAUUUGGAUGUCUUAAAUAAAAUAACAAAUUCAUAAAUGAUUAUUUUGUAAAAUGUAUUUUUUGAAUUUUAUUUAUUUAUAUUAUUUCAGCAUGAAUGAUGUUUGUGUAACCAAGAUUUUCAUGUCAUCUGAGUUUUGCUACUAUAAUGGCCUGAAGCAGCUGUCAUGGAUGGGCUGACUUGUGUCCUCCCUAUAAUUUAUAUGUAGAAGUGCUAACCCCCAAGACCUCACUCACAACGUGACUGUUGUACUUGGAGAUGGGAUCUUUAAAAGCAGUGAUUAAGUCAAAAUGUGGUCACAGAGGUGGGCCCUAAGCCAGUAUGACUGGCGUCCCUGUAAGAGGCGAUGGGGACACACACGCAUAGAGGGACGGCCCUAUGAGGACAGGGAAGAAGAUGGUGUCUACAUGCCCAGGAGAGACGCCUUGGGAGGAACCGCCCCUACCAACUCCUUGAUCUUGGUUCCGGCCCUUACAGGACUGUCUGUUGUUGAAGCUACCCUGUCGGUGGGACUUUGUAAUGGCAGCCUGAGCAAACCCACACAGUCUCUUUCCUGAUCAGGGUUCCAUCUCAGAGCUGUAGAACACAGGAGAUGGUCGGAGAGCCCGAGUCCCCAUAGGGACAAGCCACAGCAAGCGCCAUCCCAGGAUCCUCAGAGGGACGUGAAUUCUUACCUACACGGAUGCCUGGGGGCACGAGGCCUUCGUUUCUGCUGGAAUCCCAGUUGAGAAAGGCUGAGCUAAAAGAUCCAACCUUAAAAUGCAGUUACAGCUGAAGUGUGCAAAGCAGAUGUAUAUUCAUCAGAAAUGCUGAGUGACUAAAUGUAAAACAUGAAAAAAUCAACAUAAUUUUUCAUGUGUGUCUAAAAAGUUUCUUUCUUAAAAUAUUAAAAAAUGUUAAACAUUA